rnacentral:lncRNA from 1 species
CUAUGAUUUAGAGUUAGUCACUACAAUGUUUGUCUUAAAGAUUUAGUGUUAUUAUCUAUAUAGUGAGAGUUUUGAGACUUAUAUAGACUGUAAGAGUUUGAAGUAUUUAUUCUUACUUAAAGAACUUAAUAUGUGUCAGAGGAGAUAGAUGGAUUUACUUAAGGAUUAUGAUUACUAGAUCAUACACCAUCCAGAAAGAGGCAAUAUGGUUGCAUAUGCACUUAGUAAAAAGAGUUCU